GACGAACGCUGGCGGCGUGCUUAACACAUGCAAGUCGAACGGAAAGGCCCUGCUUUUGUGGGGUGCUCGAGUGGCGAACGGGUGAGUAACACGUGAGUAACCUGCCCUUGACUUUGGGAUAACUUCAGGAAACUGGGGCUCAUACCGGAUAUGAGCUCCUGCUGCAUGGUUGGGGUUGGAAAGUUUCGGCGGUUGGGGAUGGACUGGCGGCUUAUCAGCUUGUUGGUGGGGUAGUGGCUUACCAAGGCUUUGACGGGUAGCCGGCCUGAGAGGGUGACCGGCCACAUUGGGACUGAGAUACGGCCCAGACUCCUACGGGAGGCAGCAGUGGGGAAUAUUGCACAAUGGGCGGAAGCCUGAUGCAGCAACGCCGCGUGCGGGAUGACGGCCUUCGGGUUGUAAACCGCUUUCGCCUGUGACGAAGCGUGAGUGACGGUAAUGGGUAAAGAAGCACCGGCUAACUACGUG
rnacentral:rRNA from 1 species